AGGUGAUAUAUUGAAAAAUGGUAUAUGUAAUUAAUAUUAUUUUAAGGAUUUCAAAUCAAUAUUUAAAGGUGAUAAAAAGAUAAAAAUAUCAAUCACGAUCAUGAAAAUGAGAUAAAAUAAAACGAGUGGAAUGAAACAUCUGAGUAACUUGUUAAAUAACCAACAGGGAUUAUAUAAGUAACGGUGAGUGAAAGUAUAAGAAUCUUAAAGUAUUACCAAGAGGUAAGAAUAAAGUAGUUUCCAACUACUAAGAAAUAAAAUUAAAUAUUAGAGUAAAGUACCGCAAGGGAAAGAAAGAAAAUAGAAUAAUAAAGAGCAGUUAUAGUAUAGCGUACCUUUUGUAUAAUGGGCCAGUGAGUUAUAUAUUUUAGUGAAAUAUAAAAAUUAAAUAUAAAUAGAUAAUUUAAAAUAAUUAAAGUAUAUAGGCCCGAAAGCAAACGAUCUACACAUGUCCAAGUGUAUAUAGCUAAUAAGUUAUAUAUGACUCAAUAGGUAAUUGUAGCAAUAAUUUCUAAAGAGAUGUGUGUAGCUGUGACAGACAAAUCUGGUUUGCAGAUAGCUGGUUUUCUGCGAAAUAUAUUUUAGUAUAGCCUUUAUAUUUGUUUAAACUGGUACAGCACUUAAAUACCUUUGGGGAAUUAGAAUAUAAUUUUAUCAAAAUAUUUAAACCUCGGAAUCAGUUAAUAAUUUAACCUUAAUUAAGGUUAUUUACUUAUAUUUUAUUAUAUAAGCAUUAUAUAAGGAGUCAGACUUAUUGCGAUAAGGUAGUAGGUCGAGAAGGAAACAACCUAGACUAUAAAAUGAAUGUCCCAAAUAUUAAUUAAGUGAACAAAAUCUAUCACAUUUUGAUUAUUUAAUCAAAAUUAAUAAUCAUAUAUUUUGAUUAUUAUAUUAAAUUAUAGACAAUUAGUAAGUGGGUUUGACAAUAAUCAACUUUUAAUGAACAUGUAACAAUGCACUAAUUUUAUAUAUCUUCGGAUAUAUUAAUAAUAGAGAAAAUAUACGGGUCUAAAUUAAUAACAGUAUUAUAGAUAUAAUUCAAAAUGAAUUAUAUGGUAGCAGAAUAUAUAAUAAAAAAUUAUAAAGAGAUUGCUGGCUUGAGUAACGAUAGAUAAUAUAAGAUUAUCCCCUAAUUCAUAAGGUUUUACUAUAAACGAACGGUCCCUAAGAUUAAUAUAGAAAUAUAAAAUUAAUGGGUGAAAGAACAAGAAAAGGAAAAUGAACCGUACUGUAGACCGACACAGGUAUGAUAAAAGGGAAUGGGAAAACUACUUUGAAUGAACUCGGCAAAAUAAAUCGUGCGACUGUUUACCAAAAACAUAGCUUAUUGCAUACUAGUAAUAGUAAGUAUAAUAAGUGAUAUCUGCCCGGUGUUUGUUUUAUAAAUAUUAUAAUUUAAUAGAUUAUUUUAUAAAGAACAGAUAAACGGCGGUCUUAUUGUGAGGAUCCGAAGGUAGCGAAAUUCAUUGACGUAUAAUUGACGUCCUGCAUGAAUGAAUAUACGAUGCGAUAACUGUAUCCAAAGUAGACCCAGUGAAAUAGCAAUUGCGGUGAAGAUGCCGUAUAUCCGUAGGUUGACAAAAAGACCCUAUGCAGCUUUACUAUAUCUUUAUUUUGAUUUUUAAUUAUUUCUUUAAAUAAUUUAUCUUCUUUUAUUUAUUUCAGUAGAUUAGGUUAUAUUUAUAUUUUAAAUCAAAUGAGAUACCUAUAUAUAUAAAAGAAGAAUCUAAUUAAUAUAUUUUCAUUAAAGCCCCAGCUAUGCUGGGGCUGGAGUUAAUGAAUUAAAUAAGUUAAGCUUAUAAUAAGUUAAGAAAGAGUAAAGAGGUUAGUUUCGAUGGGGCGUCGACAUCAGCGAAAGCAUCUGAUGUGUCUAAUAACAAGGUUUUUAUAAUAAAACUAAAUGUUUAAUUAAUUUAUUUAUUUAAUAGUAAAUUACGUACAAUAAAUCUAUAUGGUAAAUAGAAUAUAAGCCCCAGCAAUGCUGGGGCUGAUGAUUAUAAGUAAGGAUAACAACAUAAUUGUGCGAUGAUAAUAACACAAACGAGUGGAAUUAGUACUUACGUAGAGUGUAGUGAACAGGCAUAAACAAAUGGUAUGGAUGUCGAUAACGGAUUAACCGCGUGAGAGUUGAUAUCGUCAGCGGUGUUUGCCACCUCGAUGUCGUCUAGACUCGUCCUCCUGGUCGCAGCAACUAGGUAGGGUAGGACUGUUCGUCCUCUAAGGAGUUACUUGAGAUGGGUUAAUUACGACGUGAGUCAGUAAUGAUUUUAUCAUCUAUGGAUUUUUCUCUUAUCUGUUGCCUUAAGUGUACGCAAGGAUAAUAAGGUACAUUCCUAUGGUAACUAUUUAAUUAAUUAUUAUUAAUUAUCUUUUUGCUAAGAAUGUUGUGUUUACAUAUUGAAUGCAUAUCAAAUAUUAAAUCCUUCAGAUAAGUUUAUACAUUAUAGACUAUAAUGUGUUAGUAUUUACUCUUCUAAAAGAGUAAUUAACUAAUUAAAAAAUAUACAUAUACCU
rnacentral:rRNA from 1 species